rnacentral:rRNA from 1 species
GACGAACGCUGGCGGCGUGCUUAACACAUGCAAGUCGAGCGGUAAGGCCCUUUCGGGGGUACACGAGCGGCGAACGGGUGAGUAACACGUGGGUGACCUGCCCUCAGCUCUGGGAUAAGCCUGGGAAACUGGGUCUAAUACUGGAUAUGACUCCACGGUGCAUGUCGUGGGGUGGAAAGCCUUGUGCGGCUGAGGAUGGGCCCGCGGCCUAUCAGCUUGUUGGUGGGGUGANGGCCUACCAAGGCGACGACGGGUAGCCGGCCUGAGAGGGCGACCGGCCACACUGGGACUGAGACACGGCCCAGACUCCUACGGGAGGCAGCAGUGGGGAAUCUUGCGCAAUGGGCGGAAGCCUGACGCAGCGACGCCGCGUGAGGGAUGACGGCCU